UCAGGCGACCGGGCGACCGCGUCGGCGCGCAAGCGCCGCCGAGGAAAGUCCGGGCUCCACAGAGCAGGGUGGUUGCUAACGGCAACCCGGCGUGAGUCGCGGGACAGUGCCACAGAAAACAAACCGCCGCCGGCAUGCCGGCGGUAAGGGUGAAACGGUGGUGUAAGAGACCACCAGCAUCCCGGGCGACCGGGGUGGCUCGGUAAACCCCACCCGGAGCAAGGUCAAGACACAUCCGGCUUGCCGGAUGCGCGCAGGCGUUCGAGGGCUGCUCGCCCGAGUCUGCGGGUGGACCGCUGGAGUGUGUCGGCAACGGCACACCGAGAUGGAUGGUCGCCCGCCGUCGGGAUUCCGGCGGCGACAGAACCCGGCUUACAGGUCGCCUGAUCCG
rnacentral:RNase_P_RNA from 1 species